UAGAAAAAUCAGAAAAAGGAAGUACCCUAGACUUUCUUCUCGCAAUCAGAUGCUGACGCUCCAUGCUUUCCAAAUUUCCAUUUGAUUCGCUAGAGUAGAAGACGAAGGUGGAGUCAUUCGAUUCUUAGACCUCAUUCGUAUCUCCCACUCACGUUGUUCCCAAUUGCCGACCAUCGCUAGCCUGUACCUAUGAUUCGCUGGAGUAGAAGACGACGACCGAAGAAACCCAAGCCUCCAACUACGAGUCUUCAUCUUCAGUUUUUUGAAGCCACAAAAAGGAUGUCGGGAACUUUGUAUGUUUCGGCUAAGAUGCAUUAUCAUGAGAUAUUAGGUUUACUUGCUUCUUUGUUGGAGUGGACACAAGUUGAUGACAUCAAUAUUGUUCUUAUGGGUGUUCAAAUGAGAAAAAAGUUUGACAAGUAUUAUGGACAGUUUGGAAAAACAAAUGUGAUGGUGUUAGUUGCGGUUGCUCUUGAUCCAAGGUAUAAGAUGAGGUUUUUGAAGUUUUCUUUAAAAAAAUGUAUCCUUUAGAAUUUAAGAAGGUUGAAGAAUUAUAUGCUCAAGUGUUAGAGGUUUUGAACAAACUAUAUAGUUAUUAUUCUAAUGUUUCUUCAAUAACAAAGAAUGAUGGUUCUAGUUCUUUCAAUACGAAUGAUAGUGAUGGUCAAAAUUUUGUUGGUGUGGUUAAGAAUUAGCAAAUGAGAAAAAUAUAUGAUGAGUUCUUUGAAAAUGAUAUUGAAGAUGCUAUGGAAAAAUCUGAAUUGGACGAAUAUCAUGAUGCUCCACCUGAAAAAAUGAAUAAUCAAACAUUUGAAAAUUUGAAGUGGUGGAGUGAGAAAUGCACAACAUACAAGGUGUUGGCAUCAAUGGCGAAGGACAUUCUAGCUAUUCCGGUUUCUAUGUUUGCUAGUGAGUCCACUUUUAGUACGUCCGGUCAUGUGCUGAAUGACUUUCAUAGUACUUUGCUUCCAAAGACGGUGGAAGCUUUGAUUUGUACUCAAGAUUGGUUGAGGGCAUCACGUGUUUGUAUUGACCUUGAACAAUUAUUAGAAGAUGUGAAAAAAAUAUGAGGAAGAAAUCACUCACAGUAUGGAAGAUACACGUGGAGAGAAUAAGUGAAGUCGUUGAUGUUUUUAAUGUUUUGAUGUUAUUGUUUUUGCGGCUGUUGAUUGUUGUUUUGUUGUUGUGUUGCUGUUUUUGAUGUCGUUUUUGUUGUUUUGUUGUUGCCGUUUUGUUGUUUUGUUUUGCUGUUUUGCUGUUGAUGUUUAACUGUUUUUGUGCUGUUUUGAAACUUGCUGAAAAUUGUUUGCUGUUUUGCUGUUUUGAUGUUGCUGUUUUGGCUUUUGUUAUUGCUGACAAUUAUCAUUUUGUAACAAUACUUUCUAAAUUACCCUUGUGUUGGCAUGGUGUUUUAA